UCGUGCCGAUGAUGAGAGAACCUCAUUGAAUUGACGAGCCGUCCAACAGGUCCAUGGAUCUCUUGAAUUUCUUCACUUUGUUUGAGGCAUCUCCGAAAAAGUGCAGCCUAGGAAACAUUCAAGUGUUCUCUUAUCAGUGACGGAAACAAAAAUCUGAUUUUCCAG
rnacentral:snoRNA from 1 species